rnacentral:rRNA from 1 species
CCUACGGGUGGCUGCAGUGAGGAAUAUUGGACAAUGGGCGCGAGCCUGAACCAGCGAAGUAGCGUGAAGGAAGAAUGCCCUACGGGUUGUAAGCUUCGUUUAUAAGGGAGUAAAGUGAGGCACGUGUGCCUUUUUGUAUGUACUUUAUGAAUAAGGAUCGGCUAACUCCGUGCCAGCAGCCGCGGUAAUACGGAGGAUCCGAGCGUUAUCCGGAUUUAUUGGGUUUAAAGGGAGCGUAGAUGGGUUGUUAAGUCAGUUGUGAAAGUUUGCGGCUCAACCGUAAAACUGCAAUUGAUACUGGCAGUCUUGAGUACAGGUGAGGUAGGCGGAAUUCGUGGUGUAGCGGUGAAAUGCGUAGAUAUCACGAAGAACUCCGAUUGCGAAGGCAGCUUACUAAACUGCCACUGACAUUGAUGCUCGAAAGUGUGGGUAUCAAACAGGAUUAGAUACCCUAGUAGUC